rnacentral:rRNA from 1 species
AUUAGCUAGUUGGUGAGGUAAAGGCUCACCAAGGCAACGAUCCGUAGCUGGUCUGAGAGGAUGAUCAGCCACAUCGGGACUGAGACACGGCCCGAACUCCUACGGGAGGCAGCAGUGGGGAAUAUUGGACAAUGGGGGCAACCCUGAUCCAGCCAUGCCGCGUGUGUGAAGAAGGCCCUCGGGUUGUAAAGCACUUUCAGCGAGGAAGAACGCCUAGCGGUUAAUACCCGCUAGGAAAGACAUCACUCGCAGAAGAAGCACCGGCUAACUCCGUGCCAGCAGCCGCGGUAAUACGGAGGGUGCAAGCGUUAAUCGGAAUUACUGGGCGUAAAGCGCGCGUAGGUGGCUUGAUAAGCCGGUUGUGAAAGCCCCGGGCUCAACCUGGGAACGGCAUCCGGAACUGUCAAGCUAGAGUGCAGGAGAGGAAGGUAGAAUUCCCGGUGUAGCGGUGAAAUGCGUAGAGAUCGGGAGGAAUACCAGUGGCGAAGGCGGCCUUCUGGACUGACACUGACACUGAGGUGCGAAAGCGUGGGUAGCAAACAGGAUUAGAUACCCUGGUAGUCCACGCCGUAAACGAUGUCGACCAGCCGUUGGGUGCCUAGCGCACUUUGUGGCGAAGUUAACGCGAUAAGUCGACCGCCUGGGGAGUACGGCCGCAAGGUUAAAACUCAAAUGAAUUGACGGGGGCCCGCACAAGCGGUGGAGCAUGUGGUUUAAUUCGAUGCAACGCGAAGAACCUUACCUACUCUUGACAUCCUGCGAAUUCGGUAGAGAUACCUUAGUGCCUUCGGGAACGCAGAGACAGGUGCUGCAUGGCUGUCGUCAGCUCGUGUUGUGAAAUGUUGGGUUAAGUCCCGUAACGAGCGCAACCCUUGUCCUUAUUUGCCAGCGCGUAAUGGCGGGAACUCUAAGGAGACUGCCGGUGACAAACCGGAGGAAGGUGGGGACGACGUCAAGUCAUCAUGGCCCUUACGAGUAGGGCUACACACGUGCUACAAUGGUCGGUACAAAGGGUUGCGAGCUCGCGAGAGUCAGCCAAUCCCGAAAAGCCGAUCUCAGUCCGGAUCGGAGUCUGCAACUCGACUCCGUGAAGUCGGAAUCGCUAGUAAUCGUAGAUCAGAAUGCUACGGUGAAUACGUUCCCGGGCCUUGUACACACCGCCCGU